rnacentral:lncRNA from 1 species
CAGAAUGGUCGCACGUGUGCUUAAACCUUUUUUAAAAUAAUUUUUUGUUGUUUUUGAUAUUUAUUUAAAAGUAGAUAAAGUAAAAUAAAUAAAAAGUAGAAAAUGGAAAUAAAAUAAGUAGGUAAAUUACUAAAUAAAAAUAAAGAGUAAAAAUAAAAAUAAAAUGAAAACUUUAAUGAUAAAAUAAAAGGUGUGGUGGUGCUUAGAUAAGAGAUUGGGCGUCUAAACUACUUAUUUAAAAAAAACUGUUUGGGCCCAAACCCAAGGGUCUAGGGGUGUGAAAAUGAAAAAAACGGGGGUGCAAACCUAUUUAGUUCCUAUAAGAGACUGGGCCAAGCCCAAGUGGACAGGGGUGCGAAACGGAAACAAAGGGGUGCAGAAAGGAUUUGUAUUUUUUGGUAAGGCUUGAGUCCGAAGAGAAAGGAGGGUGUGAAAUUAGAACAAAAGGGGGUGCACGGAGGAAAAGUAUUUUUUUUGUUUAUUAUUUUUUUUUAAAAUGGCAUAGGGACUCAGGCCCAAGACUCUUCAGCAGAAAAAAUAGGGGUCUUCAAGCUCUCCCUCUCAUCUCAGCGUUCACACUCCAAACCCCAGAGCUAGGGUUCCCUUGAGAAAAAGAAAACCAUGAAGGUUUCGCGUCCCCAACUCGCACGCGCCACCAUCAGCGGCUCCAGCCAAGCGGACCAGCCACCACGAGGGGUUGUCGACGGCGACACCAACGCCUUCGGCGGAAGAACCACCGCCGGUUGCGCCGGACCACCGUCUUGCACUUUCUUCUUCGCGCGAAACCAGCCCCAACUCCGAGAACCCAUCGUUCCCGCCGCCGUUGACGAAACCAAUGACCACAAGCCGCGAACCAAGGUCGCGCCGGUAACGCUGCUCGUCGCCGGCCGUCGGGUCUUCUCCCUUCCUUCUCCUUUUCCCGCACGAGAAAAGCUCUCUCUCGCUCCUUCGUCAAACACCGCCUGAGCGAUCCUGGCCACCAUGAAGCAGAGCACCUCCGUUCCACAGGUCGCGGCUAAGGUCGCCGCCGGACCUCACGUUGACGUCUUCCACCGCCAUGGCCAAAUCCACUUCCACCCAAAAUCGUCACUGCGCCAGCCACCUCUAGGAAUCCCACUGUUUAGCUAUCAGAGAAAACAGCCCCAAAGGCUUGCCGAGACAAUGCUUGGGGGUUUGCUUAUUUCCUGUGAGAAUCAGGAUGGUUCUUGAAUGAUCGGAAGCUGACCUAGACGAUGAAACUAUUGUAUAUAUUUUUUAUUUUAUAUUUUUUUUUUGCAGGGAAAUGACUUUGGGGUUACUGACAUUUCCAUAAUGAAACUGAGAUUAUGAGUGGGUGAUGAUGUAUCUGCUUAGAUGUCUCUCUCGCAGGAAGAUGGUCACAGGGGUUUGCAUGGUAUAAGCGAAGAUUGAUGAAGGAUAAUGGGUGUUUUGUCUCUGUUUGCAGGUUUGUGGUAAGGCAUGUUUUUGUUGUUAUGAAGCACGAAUGACAAACAGUAUGUGGAAGCAAAUCAUGUAUAUCGUCAAACAGAAUGGAUAGGAAAAGAUGACCAAGAUAUGCAUACAACACUCAGAAUAUUCAAUGACAACCAUUCAUAAGCAUACAAAGGUAUUCUAACAGCUCAGGAAUAUUCCACAACAACCAUACAUAAGCGGUAGAGUAAAAAGGCAUUCUAACAGCGAUUGUGAAAUAAGUUUACUCGUUUACCGCUUGGAGCUUCCUUAGUACGGUUGCUGUGACAUGAUGAAUGAAGUUUGUGCUGAUGGGGAAGAAAGUAGACUACUAUAGUGGCCGAGUUUCUGUGCUAUUGCUAACUUCAUACCCCUGAUGAUCUCCUCUCUCCUCUUGGCCGGCUCCUCUUUUGUUUCUUUGUAGGUGAACGGAGGUUGCAGAUGUGCGAAGGAUGGCGUCUCAGCUUGAAAAAAAGGAAAAAAUUGGGUAGAGGAUUGUGCUUGUAUGCGUGAUGGGGGAACCGUUUCUGUUGAGUGAAUAGAGAGUGAAUCGGAGCUGAGAGUAGUGUGUGUGUGAGGGAGGAUGAUGUUGCUUCUGUUAGCCCCCAAGAACCCUCUUCUUCUCCCCCUCCAAGAUAUUGAAGCAAUUUGAUACCCACCAGACGCUCCUCCCUGUCGCACUGCCUCCAGGAAGAUCAGAGCAUAUCUCUUUCUUGGGAUUUCUUUUUUUGUCUUUUCUUUCUUUUUCUGCGUUUAGAUUGGAUCAAAUAACCAAAGCCGUUCAAAUUUCUUUUCCCGUAUGAUGUUUGAUUGCAGAAACUGUGUAAGAAAUUCACAGGCUUUUCCACGCUCCCAUUGUAUGGGAUAUGUUGAGUGUUUAACGAUACCUGAUGCACUGUUGCUUUGAGUUGCAGGAAAAAGCAUAGUUGACUCUUUUGUGAUUUUUGUUUCUUUCUGUUUUUUUUUUCGUUUUCUUUUUUUUUUCGUCUUUUU